rnacentral:lncRNA from 1 species
UUGUAAAUGUAUCGUUGAGAUUCAUUAUGCCACAAGAGGAGAGGGGGAGGGAGAUCACCUUGAGAAAUUCGAGGAAACUGAGAAAUUUGCGCCUGCAAUGAGCAAAAAAAUAUGAAACGGAGAUUGACAAAUAUAUGUUGCGGGUCAAGACGGGAGGACCAACGAAAAACCUUUAGUCCAAAUGUGCGAGACACCCAUUGACGGCGGUGGUGACAGGCUCGGGCAGCCAUUGGCGGCGGCUGUGCCAUGGCUAUGGUCGGGGGAAAGGAGAGCUUGUGUGGAGACGGGAGGGGGGAGAUGCGGAGGGUGCCGGCGCGGCGCGGUGGCGGACGACAUGGCCGUGGUCUUGAGCCACUGCGGCCGUAGGGUUCAGUAGAUAAGAGGAAGGGCGAGGGAGAAUCGGGGGUUGAGACGGCGGUGGCGGUCUUAGACGUUGCUCACCGGGAACUGCAGGAAGGGAGGAGAGGGCGGAUUGCAUGAAAGAGAGGGAGGAGCGGCGAUUUCGCCGUCCCCAAGGAAGGCGGCGGACUGUGUUGUG